CCAAUAAUGAUAGCGCCAGAUCUCUAUGAGAUGACGAGGAAGAAGCUCAUCGAAAUGUUCGGCGGAUGGCUUCAGGGCAACCACACUCUACAGGUAGUUUUAAAGCAUUUCUGAGAAGAAAAAACAAAGAAACUAUCAUGUGGUACG
rfam:Enterococcus pallens ATCC BAA-351 genomic scaffold acvKb-supercont1.7, whole genome shotgun sequence.